CACUCGGUCAUUCACUCCCUCGGUCCCUCCCAGUCUCCCACUCAACACAGAGCUUCAGCUUCUCCAGUCUCCAGUCUCCAGUCUCCAGUCUCCACUCUCCACCCAUAGUCACUCUCACUCACACCCGCAGUCACCGUCCUCACCCUUCACGAUCGCACUUCCGUCGACCUCACCCCUCAAGCUCGCACUUCGGAGUUCCGUCAUCACCCCUUACGCUCGCAGAGUCGCAGUCACCGUCGCUCUUCGGUCCUCCUGGGUUUUAGCCACCGCUGCUGCUCCGUCUAGCCGUCGUCGCUGCUGGUCUCGGUCCUGGGCUCCUGGGUCCUGUCCUCUCGCUCUCUGGCCUCUGGCUAUGCUCGUCGGUCCUCUCGCUCUCUGGGUCUCCUUGUCUGUCUUCAUCGCCGCUGCUCCUCGCCUCCUCUGUCCUGGUCUUCGGCUCAUCACCACUGUCAUAUCAGAUUUCUGAACAUAUGAAUUCUGAAACUGCGAGUAACCUUGUUACUGCUGGAGCUGGUUCUGAGGCUGCUCCGGUCAAGGUUGAUGAACCUAGUUCAAAAAGGGCCAGACCAGCAACAUCCAAUGUUUGGAAUCUUUUUAGAAAGCUCGGUCCAGAUAAGGAUGGAGUAGAACGUUCCGAGUGUAAAGGAUGCUAGAAGGUGUUUAAAGCUGGAGGUAAGCGAUAUGGCACUUCUACCCUAAAACGACAUCUUCUCUAAACGGAAGAAAGUUUGAAAUUCAAAGAACAACAACCUAGCCACCGCAGCCCCGCAUCAUUGUCAUCGCCGAACUCUUCUCCGCUGGGUACAAGCGUCGCGUGUGGAAGAUCCGUCGCCGUCGAAGGAGCUGUGUCGCCAUCGUGUGAAAGCUCUGUGGCCGUCAUCUGUUCGAGCUUUCUCUCUGUUUGAGCUCUCUCUCUCUCUGUGUUCGCCGGUGUUGUCGUCUCCUCUGUCAUUGCCGUCACUCCCCUUCCUCCUCGCCGCCGUGCUUUGGGAUAUUUAUGUGUGUUAUAAAAUGGCAGCCAUGACGGCGCCAGGGUGAUAUGCCGUUGCGGAUUUUGAGCUCUCCGCCGUAGCAAAGCUGUUUUGUGUCGGUAAUCACGGUGAUCUGCAACUGUCCCCGGUGGAAAUGGCGGGUUUAAGUUGCAAUUUUUUUGAAAUUUGGAAAUGACACUGUAGUUUUUAGCCCACGUCAUCUAAUUUGUAGUUGUAGACUGUAUCUAAAGUAGCAUUGCCAAGAGGAUGAUGCCAACUCCGAAAUCUGGAAUUCUGAUCAAUUUCUGGAUCGGUGAUGGUGGAUAAAAGGCCAAUAGACAGCUAACAAAAACCUUAUUCUUCGAUUGACAGUCCAAAAUAAAACUGGAUCGAGAGCCCACUCUAUUUUAAGGUCGGUGUCACUAAAUUGAAAUUAUUUUCAGUUAAGAAGGUUUCUCAUCAUGUUAACUAAUUAAAAAAAAUAAACAAUAAAAAAUACCUCGAAUAGACUCUCAAUUGAUUCAAACAUAAAUCUUUAACAUCCUUUAUGUAUAGAGUGCUUUUUUUAAAUGGAAAAUUUAAAACCUUACUACUAAUAUUUAGUAAGUCGUGACAUUGUUCUUUUUUAUUUAUGUCUUGUUCUUUUUUCAUCUCAAUUAGAAUCCCACGUAUCUGUCCAUUACAUAUUUGAAC